rnacentral:rRNA from 1 species
UGACGCGGCGGCGGCUUACACAUGCAGUCGAGCGGAAACGAUGGGAGCUUGCUCCCAGGCGUCGAGCGGCGGACGGGUGAGUAACGCGUAGUGAAUCUACCCAGAUAGAGGGGGAUAGCCCGGGGAAACUCGGAUUAAUACCGCAUACGCCCCACGGGGGAAAGGCCGGGAUCUUCGGACCUCGCGCUAAUCGAUGGGCCUGCGUAAGAUUAGCUAGUUGGUGAGGUAAGAGCUCACCAAGGCGACGAUCUUUAGCUGGUCUGAGAGGAUGAUCAGCCACACUGGGACUGAGACACGGCCCAGACUCCUACGGGAGGCAGCAGUGGGGAAUAUUGGACAAUGGGGGCAACCCUGAUCCAGCCAUGCCGCGUGUGUGAAGAAGGCCUUCGGGUUGUAAAGCACUUUCAGAUGUGAGGAAAGGUUGUGUGCUUAAUACGUACAAUACUGUGACGUUAGCAUCAGAAGAAGGUGCGGCCAACUACGUGCCAGCAGCCGCGGUGACACGUAGGCACCAAGCGUCGUCCGGAUUUAUUGGGCGUAAAGAGCUCGUAGGCCGGUCAGUAACGUCGGGUGUGAAAAACUCUGGGCUCAACCCAGAGACGCCACCCGAUACUGGUGUGACUAAGAGGUGCGGGAAGGGAGCGGGGAAUUCCAGUGGUACGGUGAAUGGGAGAUUUAGGAAGACACCAGUGCGAGGGCG